rnacentral:rRNA from 1 species
UACAGAGGGUGCAAGCGUUGUUCGGAAUUAUUGGGCGUAAAGGGCGCGUAGGCGGUUCGGCCAGUCUUCAGUGAAAUCUCUGGGCUCAACUCAGAGUCUGCUGGGGAAACUGCCGGGCUUGAGUGUGGUAGGGGAGACUGGAAUUCCUGGUGUAGCGGUGAAAUGCGCAGAUAUCAGGAGGAACACCAGUGGCGAAGGCGGUUGCCUGGAGCUUUGCUGACGCUGAGGCGCGAAAGCGUGGGGAGCGAUCCGG